rnacentral:rRNA from 1 species
AUGGCCGAGAGAUACCCAGGCGACGGCGCAGCGACGAACGGCUUCGGCCGCCGACACCUCCAGGAGCUGGAGGCGCGCCUUCUGUACGAGGCCGAGUACCCGGCGCCCCCCGAAGGAGCCGCGCGGCGGGCGGAGAUCGCCAGCAUCCGCUCCUCGCUGACAGAGGAGCAGCGGAACGAGCCGAGGUACGCGCCCGACAGCGAAACGCUGUGGACGCUGUACUUCCAGGCCCGCCGCGACGAGCAGAUCGCCUCCGUCAACGGCGUCAUCCCCCGCGGCCGCCUCAACUCCGAAGGACGGCGCGAGUGGUGGGGUGUCCCCGGCCGCACACUCGACGCCGUCCUCGACCACAUCGAGACCGGCAAUGUGCCGCGACUGGAGUACCCGGCGCCCCCCUCCUUCUCUCGCCGCCGCGGUAGUUCCUGGAUACCGCGGCGAAUGGAGCCGGGGUCGUCCUCCUUGUCGGGCUUCGGCUCGCCGGCCAUCCGCCCCGUCAAGCCGGAGCCGGAGGAGACACCGCUCGGGCGUCACGCGCGGAGUGGCGCCCUCGUCAUCAACGAGCCGUCGCUUGCGACGACACCGACGGGGCGCUCCCUUCGCCUUGUCCGGCCGAAGCCCAAGCCGGACGCGCCCCCGGUGAAGCCGGAGCACGCCGGCAUGGUGGCCCCCGACGACGAGUCCGCCCUCAAAUGGGCGAGGGAGGACUACGUCCGCGAGCAGGUGCGCCGCCAGCGUCGGGCUUACCUGGAGACCCAGGCCCGCAGCCGCGCCGAGGCCCGUCGCCGGGCCGAGGAGGGCGGCGUUAUCGUCAUUGACAGCGACGACGAGGUCGAGAUGGGCCGUCAUGCGCUGUCGGCGACCUGGGUGAGGGGUGUAGCAGGGACGCCGCGGGCGAGGCGCGAUGACGACGACGGCGGCGGCGACUACACCCGCUUCUAUAGGCUUCUCGGCAUGUAG